UUAACAUGAAUUUCACCAUCAUAGUUGCUGCUCAUGCAUGUAAUAACCACAAGAAAAUUGCACGCAGAUAGAUAAUUUAGUUCUCUGUAAAUUGCAAAAGUGUGGUCUGAAGCCAAGAUUGACUUGGGGCCAUUUCAAUUGGGGCCAUUUCCAGCUUCCUCAAGUAUACAGAAUCAUCAGCAGUGUAUAUGGCCAGACUCAAUGCGUUCUACGAAGGUUCUUGUGGACCCUGUCGUCUCUGUAUGGAAACAGUAAAGAAAUAUACACACGUCCAAAAGUUGAGUGAGAAUGAAUAUUCAUUACUGUUAAAAGUGGAAAGUGUGUCUAUAGACAAAAGUGCUUGUAUUUGUUACAGUUGCUCAAAGCAAAUAAAACGUAGCAUAAGUAAUAAUCCCAACUUUCAACCGAGAUGGAAACCAAAAAUUGUCACAAGGAGACGUUGAAAUGUAGUAUACAUAUUUGCAACGAAAAACUUUGUAAAACCACAAAACUUGCCUCAGUUGAAGAGAUUGAGGAAGUGCUGCAACAAAAAGUAGCAUGUUUUACAGUUGAGGAUGACCAGGUGGAUCACUACAACACAUUGUACACUCACUACCUUGCAUCCUCCUCAUAGACUACCAUGCGAGUCCUGUAAAAUUAAACCACAUAAAGGACAACACUUUAACAGACACUGUACGUCACCAGAUGUAGUGAACGCCUACUUGAGGGAAGUCAUCAAUUACCCCUCUGACUUAUCUAGAGAAAGCAUACUUUGCCUUUCAUGUUAUAUGCAUUUCAGCAUAAUAACAAGAGGGAAGGGACACACAAAUACAUGUACUCAAGUGGUUUGAACCGAGAAGCAGAAUGCGAGACUCGCAAAGAGAUUGACACAGUGUUACUUCAUUUGCAGUCUAAAGCAAAUAAAAUUAUCCCAAACAAAGAAAUGUCAGAGAAGGACAUUUUUGAGCUUGUCAUGCAUAAAUUGGGAAUCUGACUGGGAGAAUGCAUAAAAUGUGGUGAAGCUAUGGUUUUACCAGAGCUGUACAGGGAAUAUAUACGUACUGUGAAAUCUACUUCAUCCCAAACAGGUGCCAAAUUUAUCGAGGAAAAUAUCCCUAGCAGUCGCUGGUUUCUUUCAAACCUACAAGUAUAAUUAUUAUAAGGGUAUGCUUGAGGUACAUUGCCGUCAUCGACGGUAUGGGACAAUUUUGUUUCACAAAAACUGUGACCUUGUUAGUGCAUUAUCAAUAGCACUAGGUAAGCGACAAAGUCCAAAAAUAAAACAGGAACAAGAUGAGAUCAGGAACAAGAUGAGAUACAUGACACUGCACGUGAUUCAGAAUCAACAUCUAUUGAUAAUUCAGUGGUUCCUGUUGCAAAGUACCUUAACGGUAUCCUUCAUGAAAGAGCAAAGACAGUAUGUAUGGAAUAUAAUGGUAUACCUGAAAAAGUCAGCAAUUUCAAAUUGUGUGAACUUAUUGAUAAAACAAACCCCAUCUUACUACAAUUUUUACGAGAAUUAACACAGUCAGCCCGACAGAGCAAACGUAAACUGUUUGAAGACCUCUCGCCUGAAGUGGAUACUAAAACUAUCCGUUUGGUAUUUGCUCUAAGUGUACUACAAUUCUGCACCAACAACAUGCACUUGCAGUGCUCCACUACAUGUUGCUCUCACAGAAUCUAUACUAUGUCAUGGUGGAACUCAAGAGUUAAUUCGUAUUCUAAACAGAUUAGGUGCAGCAGCUUCCCUUGACACAGUCAAUCGCUUAGCCACAAACGUCGUUACAAAACGGAUAGCAGAAGGUGUAUCAGCAGACCUCAAGCCUGGAAUGUAUGCUACAGCAACAGUAGACAAUAUCGACAUUAUACAACCAUUUGCAUUUGUGUCCUGUUUAGAUGCAUCCCGAAGUUGGCAUGGGACAUCUGUUCAAUGUAUUCAACCCCUACCAGAAACAGAGUAUCUAUCACAAGACCUUGUGCCCUCAUCUCAUGCUUCACAAUUAACCACCCGAACUCACAUUCAAACAACAUCCCCAGUAAACACUCCAAUACCACAUGAGAAACAUAAGCGAAGACGUCGUACACUGACAGAGUUUUCACCACAUACCUCAAUAACAGUUGCUCCCAAAAAGAAUUCAACAGUACUCCAAGACAAGGAGGUUUUUCAGUCAAUACACACAGCUGAAUAUGUGCGUUUGCAAACAGAUUCUGAACUGUCAAUAGCACAAUUUAGACCAACAGCAGUUGAAGAAGCUUCACUUAAAGUUUUGCAGGAGGAUUUGUUUAAAUGCAUUACACUACGGAGCUUUUCCCCUCCCCAAAUAUUUCCUAGCUUAGUGUCACUACUAAACUGUGUCAAAAGACAAACCUAUGACAAAGAAGUUUCCAACAUUGAGGUAGUGAGUGAAAAGGCUGACAGUAAACCCACACUGGUAGGUGUCAUUGCACGUUUACACAAGCUAUUCCUAAUUGACCACGGACAGAAGCAUGUGUUCCUAGUUAUGCCUCGAGGCGUAGCCGCACGAGGGAUACGGUAAAGCUGACUGUGUGUGUGUGUGUGUGUCUGUGUGUCUGUGUGUCUGUUCCAGCUGUAACUGCUCAACGGUUGCAAUGCGACGAAAACUAACAGCUUCUAUAGGCUUCUAGCCACGUUCUCUUGGAUUUUGAUUCGUGGAUUUGCAAACUAAAGCUUCUUUCUCGAGUUAUGGCUAGUUUGACUCACAUUGAAGGCUGUUGCAGUCUCUUCAGAAUCUUUCAUAGCAUCAUCUGUCCGCACAAACUUUCUAUUCAACAUAUGAGUUAGCCUUGCACUAAAGCGCUAGCUUUUUGUUAGCUACAAUACUCAGAAAAUAUCUGUUAAAACAGCUACUAGCUAGCAGUAGCCAUUUGUGAAAUUGAUCUCUUUGGACACACCCUUUAAUUAUUCCUGUGUGUGUAAUGCGCAUGCGCGCUCAUUCCCCACGUGUGAGAAAAUAAUAAUAUCCAAGAUCCAGAUCCUCCUGGCAGAAUCAUCUUUGUCUUGAAGGCCUGGUAAGCCACAAAACACUACCAUAUAACAAUAUAGAUAACAAUAUGCAUGUACACAGGUCUUUUCUUCUUAGAUAUUAUAUACACUGAACUACAGAUCUUGGAAGAAUCAAUUUUCUUCUUUCUUGAGGUCCUAGUAAGCCACAUAAUACAACAAUAGAUGCAUGUAAAUAAGUCUUUUCUUCUCAGUGACUUUAUAUAGAUAAGCUAACUUUAAUAUUAAAUUCAUUAUAGAAACUAAUAUAACACUCUAAUACUUUUCAGCGAAAGCAAAAACAUGGCGAGAGGCAUUAGCACAGCGCCAGCUUGAACACUAGUUGGAGAUGCAAAAACAUACGUUAUUUUAAAGGAAAUAAUUAUGCUAUGAAUAUGCAGGCCAGCAGUGGCUAACGCCUUAUCCCGGUGAUUGGCACAUUUUGUUAAACUAUCAAAAAGCUCUCAUGAAACCCUAUGCUGAUGCUGGCCUGGCUAGUUUAGGCAAAGUUUCUGGACACAAGGGGGAAACAUUGACUUCUCUAAUCCAUGCAACAAAUUUCAGAAGAACACAUGAGUUUCUACUACAAGCGUAUGAAGCUAUAUACAGGUACUUUUUGUCACUGUAUACAACUGAGCUUUGCGAAAAUGACAUGAGUGAUACAGACUAUACACAUGAGAUUACGACAAUGAUUACUCAAUUAGCUACUCAAUUCUCACACACGUCAGGUAUUGCAGACCUAGAAGUGUUUAGGGACACGGCUACAAAACUUCUAAAUAGCACCGCAAUGAAAUUGCUGAAGUAUAAAACAUUCAUGGAAAGACUAUCCACAAAGCAUGACACUGUUAAAUUCUGGUAUCAGUUCAUCACCGUCGAUUGUUUUGCUUAUUUGGCCCUUUUUAUAGCUCAAAAAUAUAGGAAUUGGGAGCUAAGAGUUGGAAGCAUAAAACUUUUAUCAGCAGUUUUCACUGCAUUCGAUCACCCAACAUAUCAAGAAGUAAUCCCACAGCAUUUACAGGACUUAUUGAGACUGCCAGAUUCUGUAUUACAGUAUCUGAGAUCGGGUGCUUUUAGUGCCCGUUUAAGUCCAUCAGAAUGGCAUAGCGUUGCUUUAGACGAAUGCCAUGAGAUGAAAAUCAAUAAAGACGCAAAACUGGCAGUUAUACGACCAACUCCACAAAAAAUGGAAUUUCUGUCUAACUAUCUCUCAUAUAGGGCAGUUUGUGUUAGAAAUUUGCAAAAAGAGUUAUUCCCAGAGCAGGAGAAACCAACCGAUGCUCAUGGUCACAUAACAACAAGUAGAGACAAGAAAGGUGAAACAAAUGUUGAUCACAUGAUUGACACCAUUACUAAGAAUGGUAUGGCCAUCCACGAAGAUUUAUGGAAUUUUUUGGAAUGUAAGCAAGCCAGUCUGGAACAAUCUUAUGACCUUCUAAACUUCAGGAAUAUUGGUCAGGAAGCAUACGAAUCAUUUGUAUCUACUAAGUACCUUCACAUGCCAAGUACAUCAGUUAUAAAACGCAAGAAACGACUGAGUACUUUUACUAUAACAGCAACACAAAAAAAGAAAGUAAAGCUGAUUGACCAAGAACGUAAAAUUAGUCAACGUUAUCUGAAAAGGCAACUUGCUUGGAUAGCGGAACAAGGGAUUGACAAUAUUGACAUUGAUAGUUUAUUUGGCCCCAUUUCACAAGUCCCAAGAGCACUUGUAGACGGUAAAGGUUUCCCACAAAAAGCAUAUAAGGCUAGUACAACCGGAUUUUAUGAGAAAAGGUAUGCCAAAUUACCAGUUAUUCUAAACAGCUUCCCUCCCCUGUGGGUACCACAUUCAGUGAUCCUAGAGGGAAUGUUCAUGAUUCAGACAACACCACUACCUACAGUGAGCAACAUGAAUGAUUACGUAAUACUUUUAAUCAAUCAGUUUGUAAAACCUCACAUUAAGGCAGGUGUACAGGAGGUCCACGUACAGGAGGUCCACGUAGUGUUUGACACACCCGGUUCAAUGAAAGAGACACCAAAAGAACUAGAACAAAAGCGAAGAGACGAGAGUGUACAAACUACAAAAGUUGAUCAUAUAUGUGGCCAUAUUGACAAUAAUACAACUGUGCCUACAAACUGGAGAUCAUUUCUCACAUGCAGAAGAUGUAAAAAAGACCUAACAGAAUAUUUAGCAACAGAAAUUUUAAAUGUUGUGCCUAGUAUUCUCUCAGCAGAGCAAGCAGUAUUUUGUAACAUUGGCGUUGAUGCAUACACUACAUCAAACUCGAAAGAAAUACUUCCUUGCCCUUCAUUGUGGACAGACGCAGAUGAGGGGGAUUUAAGAGUAUGGUUACACUGUGUACAUUCAGCCGGCACAAACAAAUUGGUAUUUUCAAGAGAUACAGACGUUUACCACAUAGGUCUGACAGUGCUUCACCUAAUCCCAACUAACCACAUAAUUGUACAGCUCAGUAAAAGUUACAAAAACGGUGGAAAAUUUAUUAAUCUUAAGGCAUUCGCUGAGGCCCUUUCGAAAGACCCUGACCUAAGUGGCAUUACUGAUUUACACAGACCUCAAGUUAUCCAAUCUAUUUAUGUUAGUACUGGCUGUGACUACAUCUCAUUUUUUUCUGGCGUGGGAAAAAUUACUUUUCUGACAACUUUUUUCCAGUAUGCAUCAUUUAUAACAGGCGGACAACCCAUUGGAAGCAUGGGAAUUCUUGAGACCUCCUCAGCACUAUUGUCAUUCUUACGUCUAGUGGGUUGUGCAUAUUUUAAGAAACACACAUCGGCAUUCGAACACCCUACCUACACCAAUUGCUCUGUACCAAUCAUCUGUACCAAUCAAUUGGUAUUGUUAACCCACUUAAACACCAUGAAGAAUGGUUACAAGUAAUCAGCUAAGGGCAGAUACAGAAAGCCAUAAUUUACCAUCUACCGAAGCUCUGGCGCUACACUGGAAGAGAUGCUUAUGGGUACUUCAAAUGUGGAACAGUGCAACACAAAAUGACAUGGACCUUCCAGCUCUCUCUCACUACACAUGGAUGGAAGCGAUAAAAUGGAGAACUGGGGAUUCAAUGGGAUUCUCCAGAAAACCUGACAAAGUCAAAGGAAAGAGUGGAAUAUGUAUUAUCAGGGUGCAAGUGCAAGACUGGUUGCACAAACAAAUGAUGCAAAUGUUUCAAACAGGAAAGAAGGUGUGGGCCUGGCUGUAAGUGUGUAAACUGUAUGAAUACACAGAGUAAUCACCUAUUUGAAGAGGAUGAUGUACACGAUCUUGUAUUAUCAGAGCAGUGCCAUUAUAAUUCUGAAGAUGACUAUGUUGAGACAGACUGUGAGGAAGAUGAAGAAACAAACGAAAUCAUAAACGAAGUGUUUGGACCAGACAAUGAUACUGAAGAUGUGUUUGUAUAGGUUUAAUGUAUGUCAGCUAUGUUCCCUGGGAUUAUGCUUCAAAACUUAUACAGUCUGUACUUAAGAUACUAGACAACACAUAAAACAAAUUUCAGCGAUGUAUCAACUUUCAAAGUGCUACCAGGGCCAACCAAAGUUGAUAAAUGAAUCUUCAAAUGUUGGCCUAAUACUAUAGCACAUUAUUACUCGCAGGAUAGUUGGUUUCUUGUUUUGACUUCAGUUAUACAUUAUAUAAUACUCCUUUAUUAGCUUACCAUUACUUCUCAGU